rnacentral:rRNA from 1 species
AACGAACGCUGGCGGCGCGCCUAAUACAUGCAAGUCGAGCGAGAAGACGUAGCAAUACGUUUGUAAAGCGGCGAACGGGUGAGGAAUACAUGGGUAACCUACCCUCGAGUGGGGAAUAACUAGCCGAAAGGUUAGCUAAUACCGCGUACGCUCCUUGGACUUCGGUUCAGGGAGGAAAGCGAUACCGUGGGUAUCGCGCUCUUGGAUGGGCUCAUGUCCUAUCAGCUUGUUGGUGAGGUAACGGCUCACCAAGGCUUCGACGGGUAGCUGGUCUGAGAGGACAAUCAGCCACACUGGCACUGCGACACGGGCCAGACUCCUACGGGAGGCAGCAGUAAGGAAUAUUGCGCAAUGGGCGAAAGCCUGACGCAGCGACGCCGCGUGGGGGAUGAAGGUCUUCGGAUUGUAAACCCCUUUCGGGAGGGAAGAUGGAACGAGCAAUCGUUCGGACGGUACCUCCAGAAGCAGCCACGGCUAACUUCGUGCCAGCCGCCGCCGUAAC